GAGAGUUUUUAAAUAGAACAUCCACCGGCAUUCUGUCUGGAGAAGACUAAAUUCAAGAUUGCCACCCCAACGUGAACAUGUUAUCUGCUGUAUAGCACAGAAGGACAUGGAGGAGACGGGUGACCGGCCUCUGAGAAAUGACAUGCAAUAGGAGAUUUAGGUGUGCGGUUCUCCAUCUCUUCCAGUAUUCUUAUUUUGACUCCUAUACAACUGGAACAGGCACUAUUCAGUAGAAAAUGCGGUGCUGGAAGAUAAGAACAGAGAGCUGAUCCAGAGUAUCCAGGAACUGCAACACAGACCAACAUCAGGAAAGACAUAUUCCAAGACAUUUUCCCCAAAUUAGAUAAGUUUAGUUUAGUUUAUUAAUUAUACCAUUAAAAAAAACAAGGAAAAUCAUUGAGUACAACACACAAUAAAAUCUGGGACUUCCAUUGAUUUCCAUUGUGGUCCUCUUGAGACAAGAUGGCUAGGCAAGAUCGAAUAUGGUUGAACACAGUAUGGCAGCGAGAUAAUAAAACAUAAAAACAAAGAAGAAGAACAUCUGUCUCAUCAUUGCAGUUACGUCGUAGGGUACAUUCAUAUAGGCACAGAAGUCAUCAAACUGUUUUUUACUUUAUUUUUAAAGCUGGAAAGAGGACAUCRUUUUUAUGGGCAGAGGCAACUCAUUCCACUCUGAGG